rnacentral:lncRNA from 1 species
UCCCAACUGGUCCACAACAAUAGUUGCAAUCGACGCAGCCAUGGGGCGUUGCAAUUUUUGUGUUCGACCAAAAUUGCAAUCAGCCUACCAUCUGGGUCACAAUUGGUCCACCAACAGAAUUGCAAUUGGUGCAUCUGAACACAUCCUUUGCACACAUAAUAAUAGUUACCACUCGGAAUUUUUGCAAUUGGUAUGACAACUAGAGUUGCAACUGAUGGGUUGUAAUACAUGCAGAUUCAUUCAGAUUCAGUUGCAACCUUUUUUGUCAUUGGAAAGAAAACAAAAUAAAAAAUAACAUUAUUAGGGGGAACAUGUAGCUACCACAUUUAAGUAAAUGUAGAUUCAUUCAGAUUCAUAGUCAUUGCCAUCACUAUUUUCUUGGUAAUUAACAUGGCCAGAUGUGUCAUCCUCCCCACUCUUGUCCCCCCUCUUGUUCUUCGUUCUGUCCCCUCUAUAUUCUUGGCC